GGUAUGGGAUGAGCUUGCGUCCGAUUAGCUAGUUGGCGGGGCAACGGCCCACCAAGGCGACGAUCGGUAGCCGGCCUGAGAGGGUGAUCGGCCACAUUGGGACUGAGAUACGGCCCAGACUCCUACGGGAGGCAGCAGUAGGGGAUAUUGCACAAUGGGGGGAACCCUGAUGCAGCAACGCCACGUGUGGGAAGAAGCAUUUCGGUGUGUAAACCACUGUCAUGAGGGAAUAAGGCCCGCCUUCGGACGGGAUUGAAUGUACCUUGAGAGGAAGCACCGGCAAACUUCGUGCCAGCAGCCGCGGUAAUACGAGGGGUGCAAGCGUUGUUCGGAAUUACUGGGCGUAAAGGGAGCGUAGGCGGAGAUUCAAGCGGAUUGUACAAUCCCGGGGCCCAACCCCGGCUCUGCAGUCCGAACCGGAUCUCUUGGAUAGUUCAGGGGCAGGC
rnacentral:rRNA from 1 species